AACGGGUGAGUAAUGUAUCGGAACGUGCCCUAGAGUGGGGGAUAACGUAGCGAAAGUUACGCUAAUACCGCAUACGAUCUACGGAUGAAAGUGGGGGACCGCAAGGCCUCACGCUCAUGGAGCGGCCGAUAUCUGAUUAGCUAGUUGGUAGGGUAAAAGCCUACCAAGGCGACGAUCAGUAGCUGGUCUGAGAGGACGACCAGCCACACUGGGACUGAGACACGGCCCAGACUCC
rnacentral:rRNA from 1 species